UUCAACCUCAUUCUGAAGUACUGUCUGUUGGACAACAGUUUAAUUCAGACAUCCUGUGAAAUUGUUCUAAUUUCUCAUAUUAUUAAUUAAUGUGAUGAAAAAAGACUUACUGAAAUUUUUGGGAUGCAUUCAUCAGCGUCUCAACAUCGGUUUCAGCACUUGCUGGAUCCACAACAAAAAUUGUGCCAGACAGAACAUGCAGAAACACCUUCUUCUGGAACAGCAGGAACAUUGAAAACGCCCAGUGCUCCUCUGCAAAGAUCAUGUUGGAUGAUGGUCUUCGAGGUCUAAUUAACAGAUCUUCGGGAAGGUUGUUCCGUAG